rnacentral:rRNA from 1 species
GUCUACGGCCAUGCCACCCUGAACAAGCCUGAUCCCAUCUGAUCCCGGAAGCUAAGCAGGGUCAGGCUUGGUUAGUACUUGGAUGGGAGACCACCUAGGAAGAUCAGGUGCUGUAGGCA